UUCACGGAGAGUUUGAUCCUGGCUCAGGACGAACGCUGGCGGCGUGCUUAACACAUGCAAGUCGAACGAUGAAGCC
rnacentral:ncRNA from 2 species